rnacentral:rRNA from 1 species
UACAGAGGGGGCGAGCGUUGUUCGGAAUUACUGGGCGUAAAGGGCGCGUAGGCGGCCUGCUAAGUCGGACGUGAAAUCCCCCGGCUCAACCGGGGAACUGCGUCCGAUACUGGUGGGCUCGAAUCCGGGAGAGGGAUGUGGAAUUCCAGGUGUAGCGGUGAAAUGCGUAGAUAUCUGGAGGAACACCGGUGGCGAAGGCGGCAUCCUGGACCGGCAUUGACGCUGAGGCGCGAAAGCCAGGGGAGCAAACGGG